rnacentral:lncRNA from 1 species
GUUGACUCACCUUACGUUUCGAUCACAUAGGAGACAUCGCGUCAAGAGCACAUGGAAAGACUAAUCUAAUAAAGUCUUUUCGCUUUUCACUUUUGAGGAAGGGGGUUUACCAAUGGGACAAUGGGAUAAGAUCUCUGGUUCAGUGCCACAUUAAAGGAAGGCUCAAAAGCCAAGUCGGGUUGAAGUCGGACAUUGAUUGACGUUCGUUCAAAGCAAUCAGUUGGGGAAGCUACAGCGUAACAGCCUGGAAAACAAAUCCCAGAAAAGGCUUCCAUAUUCAAAGAUCAAUGAAGACGAGCAUUCUCGAAUUUCCCUUGGCCUUGAAUUCACUCUGAUUGACGCUACC